rnacentral:rRNA from 1 species
UAGUCAUAUGCUUGUCUCAAAGAUUAAGCCAUGCAUGUCUAAGUAUAAACAUUUAUACCGUGAAACUGCGAAUGGCUCAUUAAAUCAGUUAUAGUUUAUUUGAUAGUACCUUACUACUUGGAUAUCCGUGGUAAUUCUAGAGCUAAUACAUGCAUUAAACCUCGACUUCGGAAGGGGUGUAUUUAUUAGAUAAAAAACCAUCGUCUUCGGACUUUUUGGUGAUUCAUAGUAACUUAACGAAGCGCAUGGCCUUGAGCUGGCGCUAAGUCAUUCAAAU